UCCGGUGGCCAUAGCGGCAGGGUUCCACCCGAACCCAUUCCGAACUCGGUAGUUAAGCCUGCCAGCGCCAAUGGUACUGCACGGUUACGUGUGGGAGAGUAGGACGCCGCCGGAU
rnacentral:rRNA from 2 species